GGAGUUAGCCGGUGCUUCUUCUGUGAGUGAUGUCCUUCCUGCCGGCUAUUAACCCGCAGGCCUUCUUCCUCACUGAAAGUGCUUUACAACCCGAAGGCCUUCUUCACACACGCGGCAUGGCUGGAUCAGGGUUGCCCACAUUGUCCAAUAUUCCCCACUGCUGCCUCCCGUAGGAGUCUGGGCCGUGUCUCAGUCCCAGUGUGGCUGAUCAUCCUCUCAGACCAGCUACGGAUCGUCGCCUUGGUGAGCCGUUACCUCACCAACCAGCUAAUCCGACAUAGGCUCAUCCGAUAGCGCGAGGCCCGAAGGUCCCCCGCUUUCCCCCGUAGGGCGUAUGCGGUAUUAGCCUGGGUUUCCCCAGGUUAUCCCCCACUACCGGGCAGAUUCCUAUGCAUUACUCACCCGUCCGCCGCUCGCCACCAGGGAGCAAGCUCCCCGUGCUGCCGCUCGACUUGCAUGUGUUAGGCCUGCCGCCAGCGUUCAAUCUGAACCAAGAUCAAAUUCUGA
rnacentral:rRNA from 1 species